GGUUAAGCGACUAAGCGUACACGGUGGAUGCCCCGGCAGUCAGAGGCGAUGAAGGACGUGCUAAUCUGCGAUAAGCGUCGGUAAGGUGAUAUGAACCGUUAUAACCGGCGAUUUCCGAAUGGGGAAACCCAGUGUGUUUCGACACACUAUCAUUAACUGAAUCCAUAGGUUAAUGAGGCGAACCGGGGAACUGAAACAUCUAAGUACCCCGAGGAAAAGAAAUCAACCGAGAUUCCCCAGUAGCGGCGAGCGAACGGGGAGGAGCCCAGAGCCUGAAUCAGUGUGUGUGUUAGUGGAAGCGUCUGGAAAGGCGCGCGAUACAGGGUGACAGCCCCGUACACAAAAAUGCACAUACUGUGAGCUCGAUGAGUAGGGCGGGACACGUGGUAUCCUGUCUGAAUAUGGGGGACCAUCCUCCAAGGCUAAAUACUCCUGACUGACCGAUAGUGAACCAGUACCGUGAGGGAAAGGCGAAAAGAACCCCGGCGAGGGGAGUGAAAAAGAACCUGAAACCGUGUACGUACAAGCAGUGGGAGCCUCUUUAUGGGGUGACUGCGUACCUUUUGUAUAAUGGGUCAGCGACUUAUAUUCUGUAGCAAGGUUAACCGAAUAGGGGAGCCGAAGGGAAACCGAGUCUUAACUGGGCGUUAAGUUGCAGGGUAUAGACCCGAAACCCGGUGAUCUAGCCAUGGGCAGGUUGAAGGUUGGGUAACACUAACUGGAGGACCGAACCGACUAAUGUUGAAAAAUUAGCGGAUGACUUGUGGCUGGGGGUGAAAGGCCAAUCAAACCGGGAGAUAGCUGGUUCUCCCCGAAAGCUAUUUAGGUAGCGCCUCGUGAAUUCAUCUCCGGGGGUAGAGCACUGUUUCGGCAAGGGGGUCAUCCCGACUUACCAACCCGAUGCAAACUGCGAAUACCGGAGAAUGUUAUCACGGGAGACACACGGCGGGUGCUAACGUCCGUCGUGAAGAGGGAAACAACCCAGACCGCCAGCUAAGGUCCCAAAGUCAUGGUUAAGUGGGAAACGAUGUGGGAAGGCCCAGACAGCCGUGAUGUUGGCUUAGAAGCAGCCAUCAUUUAAAGAAAGCGUAAUAGCUCACUGGUCGAGUCGGCCUGCGCGGAAGAUGUAACGGGGCUAAACCAUGCACCGAAGCUGCGGCAGCGACGCUUAUGCGUUGUUGGGUAGGGGAGCGUUCUGUAAGCCUGCGAAGGUGUGCUGUGAGGCAUGCUGGAGGUAUCAGAAGUGCGAAUGCUGACAUAAGUAACGAUAAAGCGGGUGAAAAGCCCGCUCGCCGGAAGACCAAGGGUUCCUGUCCAACGUUAAUCGGGGCAGGGUGAGUCGACCCCUAAGGCGAGGCCGAAAGGCGUAGUCGAUGGGAAACAGGUUAAUAUUCCUGUACUUGGUGUUACUGCGAAGGGGGACGGAGAAGGCUAUGUUGGCCGGGCGACGGUUGUCCCGGUUUAAGCGUGUAGGCUGGUUUUCCGUGCAAAUCCGGAAAAUCAAGGCUGAGGCGUGAUGACGAGGCACUACGGUGCUGAAGCAACAAAUGCCCUGCUUCCGGGAAAAGCCUCUAAGCAUCAGGUAACAUCAAAUCGUACCCCAAACCGACACAGGUGGUCAGGUAGAGAAUACCAAGGCGCUUGAGAGAACUCGGGUGAAGGAACUAGGCAAAAUGGUGCCGUAACUUCGGGAGAAGGCACGCUGAUAUGUAGGUGAAGCGACUUGCUCGUGGAGCUGAAAUCAGUCGAAGAUACCAGCUGGCUGCAACUGUUUAUUAAAAACACAGCACUGUGCAAACACGAAAGUGGACGUAUACGGUGUGACGCCUGCCCGGUGCCGGAAGGUUAAUUGAUGGGGUUAGCGGUAACGCGAAGCUCUUGAUCGAAGCCCCGGUAAACGGCGGUACGUAACUAUAACGGUCCUAAGGUAGCGAAAUUCCUUGUCGGGUAAGUUCCGACCUGCACGAAUGGCGUAAUGAUGGCCGGGCUGUCUCCACCCGAGACUCAGUGAAAUUGAACUCGCUGUGAAGAUGCAGUGUACCCGCGGCAAGACGGAAAGACCCCGUGAACCUUUACUAUAGCUUGACACUGAACAUUGAGCCUUGAUGUGUAGGAUAGGUGGGAGGCUUUGAAGUGUGGACGCCAGUCUGCAUGGAGCCGACCUUGAAAUACCACCCUUUAAUGUUUGAUGUUCUAACGUUGGCCCGUAAUCCGGGUUGCGGACAGUGUCUGGUGGGUAGUUUGACUGGGGCGGUCUCCUCCUAAAGAGUAACGGAGGAGCACGAAGGUUGGCUAAUCUCGGUCGGACAUCAGGAGGUUAGUGCAAUGGCAUAAGCCAGCUUGACUGCGAGCGUGACGGCGCGAGCAGGUGCGAAAGCAGGUCAUAGUGAUCCGGUGGUUCUGAAUGGAAGGGCCAUCGCUCAACGGAUAAAAGGUACUCCGGGGAUAACAGGCUGAUACCGCCCAAGAGUUCAUAUCGACGGCGGUGUUUGGCACCUCGAUGUCGGCUCAUCACAUCCUGGGGCUGAAGUAGGUCCCAAGGGUAUGGCUGUUCGCCAUUUAAAGUGGUACGCGAGCUGGGUUUAGAACGUCGUGAGACAGUUCGGUCCCUAUCUCGCCGUGGGCGCUGGAGAACUGAGGGGGCUGCUCCUAGUACGAGAGGACCGGAGUGGACGCAUCACUGGUGUUCGGGUUGUCAUGCCAAUGGCACUGCCCGGUAGCUAAAUGCGGAAGAGAUAAGUGCUGAAAGCAUCUAAGCACGAAACUUGCCCCGAGAUGAGUUCUCCCUGAGACUUUAAGUCUCCUGAAGGAACGUUGAAGACGACGACGUUGAUAGGCCGGGUGUGUAAGCGCAGCGAUGCGUUGAGCUAACCGGUACUAAUGAACCGUGAGGCUUAACCUU
rnacentral:rRNA from 1 species